UACAGAGGGUGCAAGCGUUGUUCGGAAUUAUUGGGCGUAAAGCGCGUGUAGGCGGCCUAGCAAGUUGGGUGUGAAAGCCCUCGGCUUAACCGAGGAAGUGCGCCCAAAACUACAAGGCUUGAGUACCGGAGAGGGUCGCGGAAUUCCCGGUGUAGAGGUGAAAUUCGUAGAUAUCGGGAGGAACACCGGUGGCGAAGGCGGCGACCUGGGUCGACACUGACGCUGAGGCGCGAAAGCUAGGGGAGCAAACAGG
rnacentral:rRNA from 1 species